CACCUUUGGAACUUAAGGGUCAGUUCGGCUGGAUCGGUGACAGGUGCUGCAUGGCUGUCGUCAGCUCGUGUUGUGAGAUGUUGGGUUAAGUCCCGCAACGAGCGCAACCCUCGUCCUUAGUUGCCAGCAUUAAGUUGGGCACUCUAAGGAGACUGCCGGUGUUAAACCGGAGGAAGCGGGGAUGACGUCAAGUCCUCAUGGCCCUUAUGUCCAGGGCUACACACGUGCUACAAUGGCCGGUACAAAGGGUAGCAAGACCGCGAGGUGGAGCCAACCCCAAAAAGCCGGCCUCAGUUCGGAUUGGAGUCUGCAACUCGACUCCAUGAAGUUGGAAUCGCUAGUAAUCGUGGAUCAGCAUGCCACGGUGAAUACGUUCCCGGGCCUU
rnacentral:rRNA from 1 species